rnacentral:rRNA from 1 species
UAUGUGAUCGUCUCUCGCAUAUCAAUAAGCGGAGGAAAAGAAACUAACAAGGAUUCCCCUAGUAACGGCGAGUGAAGCGGGAAGAGCUCAAAUUUGAAAUCUUAAAGGGUUUCCCUUUACGAAUUGUAGUUUAAAGAAGUGUUUUCUGUUGAGGUUUUGGUAAAAGUUCUUUGGAAUAGGACAUCAUAGAGGGUGAGAAUCCCGUAUUUGACCUUUACUUUCAACUUUGUGAUACACUUUCAAAGAGUCGGAUUGUUUGGGAUGCAGUCCAAAAUGGGUGGUAAAUUUCAUCUAAAGCUAAAUAUUGGCGAGAGACCGGAUAGCGAACAAGUACCGUGAGGGAAAGAUGAAAAGAACUUUGAAAAGAGAGUUAAACAGUACGUGAAAUUGUCAAAAGGGAAGCAUUUGACACCAGUGUUGUUUUUCUGAAAAUCAAUUAAAGAACUGUUUAUGCUAAGCUGUUUAGACUUUAUCAGCUAAUCUGUUUAGUUUUGAGCUUUUCCUUAAUGCACUUUUCAGUUAACAAGUCAACAUCAAUUUCUUUUGCUGUAAAAAAGCUUGAGGAAGGUGGCUUGAGAUUCGUCUUAAGUGUUUAUAGCCUCUUGCCUAUGCAGUCGGAGAGAUUGAGGUCUGCAGCGUAGAUCCUUCGGGGCUAAAUGCAUUUGUGCUAAGUUAUAGCAUUUUAUAGACAACUUGUUGACUAUGAUUUGUCUUGUAGCUUACUCGCUUAUGUUAUUUUACCUACGCUUAGGAUGUUGAUCUACAGAGCGAGAGU